UGCAAGGUCAUUUCUAAAAUAUGCAGAAAGAUGAUAUAAGGCAAUUCCAAAUCUGAUCUCUUCUAUUAGUUAAGCACAAAUGUUUGUAGUUGUCUCCUUUGUCAUUGUUUGCGUGUAUCCCCACCGCCCACAUCAUGUGACUAUAAGUUCUAGACGCAUAUGGAAAAGUAAUAUAGUUGAAUCUUUUGCUAAUUUAUGUCUCAUGUCCCUACAGUUCGUGCAGUUUAUAUGGAUGAAGAAGAAGAAGAUGCUGACAAUAUCUGGGCUACUGCCUCUACCUUCAUAGUGCUCUUCCUUCUGAGUUUGUUUUACAGUGCCACUGUAACUCUUUUCAAGGUAAAAUGAUUCUGAUUGGACAGAUACAUUUGUUGCACAAGGAAAAGCACUGUAAUCCAAGUGCCUAUUUCCAGUAGCUAAUGCCUAAUGCCUUCUGAUUUGUAAAUAUCUCAUGCUGUUAUUACUCUGUAAUAUAUGUUAAUAACCUAGAGCUUUUGUGGUCUUGUUAAUAUAUAUCUGUAUUGAAUAUUAAAGUGUGAAAAUAAAGAUAUGUUAUGUUAACA